GGCACGUUCUGUUGCUCUACUGCUAUUACUGUGUUCGUCGAUCGUAUCAACUUUGGCAACACCAUGGGCUUUUUACAACAUACCAUCAUUCACACAUCGUCCUCAACAUCAUAACAUUCAGCUGACAGAUACAGUUCCAGUAGCUGCACCCACCAUAUCAAGCAUUGUUAUCAAAGAUAAUGCACAACAAACCAAUAUUGGCAAUGGAGGAGCUGCCUAUGGAAAUGGUAAUGCUGGAAAUGGUGGGAACUUCGAAAACAUAAAUAUCGAAGGUAUAAAGGACAACACUGACACUGUGCCCUCAGAUGGGGGUACUCCCGAUGACGUUUUUAAUCUUGGUAAUGGAGGAAACAGCUACGGACGUGGUGAUGGUGAAAAUGGUCACAACUUUAGCAACAUCACUAUAACGGGGUAGGACUUGAAU